GCGUGAUUAGCAGAGCAGUGAGACCGAAAAGGCAAAAGAUAUUUCUUCAGCUACCGGGAGUCCGCUUGGAGUACCGUUUUCACAUUCUUUUAUUCUUGAAUAAUUACCGGAAUAUUCUGGAAUUCUUGCAUUUCCCGGGUUUUGGCACCAGUUGUCGCAUGUCGCGACGCACCCCUUUGGUGGACAGGAGAGUUGGACACAGAGUGACGCGAGAAUUCCCACUAACUCCCACAAACCAAGCCCUGCCACAAUCAUAAACAGCUUGCUGACUUUGCUUUGCAAACACAAUGCAUCACAUUCGUUUAGCUUACAAUGUGAGACACUGAACUAUAUUCAUCUGAUUGAUAUGGAAAUCCAGACCCAGCACACAACAUUCCCAGCCCAAUGAGAAUAGAUGUAAGAUCACAGAAGCACUGGUGCAAGUUAGCUAUUCUAAUCAAGAAUCAAAACAUGCAAAUACGAAACGCAUACAUAACAAGCUCGUAGGAGAGAAACGUCAAACCGUAAAAAUAUGACCUAAAGCUAUAAAAAAAUACCACAACCUGUACUAAUAUGAAAAAGGUGAGAGUGCUACAGGGUGGUGAUGGGAGAGGAACCAGGAGGAGGAGGUGGAGGGUCCAUCAUCCGUGUCAGAUGAUUGCCAGAAUUCAGCUCUCCUACCACUU